UAAAGGCAUGCAUAGUCUUGUUAUGUUUAUAGCCACUGCUGUAAACAUUGACUCUGUAGUCACGCUGUUGUAAACUCAUGUAUAUAAAAGUGGAUAUAUUUUGAUAUUAUACAAAAUAAAAACUUAGAUAUGGGAAACCGAAAAAGAACAAAAAUAACACGAAUGAACAAGGAACCAGAAGAUUUGGAGGAUAUGAAUAUGAAUGAAGUAACAGAUUCUGAAGAAGAAUAUUCAGAAAAUGAACGUAAAUUACUUCAGGAUGUGCGAACUAGACAUUCUUCAGAAAGUUAUGAUAGCGAUUAUGAAGUUUAUAAAUUAACUGAUGAUAACAAAGAAGAUCAUGUUGAUACUGAAGAUGGCAUGCAAACAGAUUCAAUGGAAUCUGAUAUUGAAGGAUUAGAAGAAGAUUUUGGCUUACCAAAUGAAAAGGCUUGGGGUAAAAAGAAGAAAGCUUAUUAUUCUACUGAUUAUGUUGAUGCUGAUUAUUCUAGCAUUACCGAGAAGGAUUUAGCUGUAGCGGAAUUGGAAGAACAGGAAGCUAGAAAUAUCCAAAAAAGACUAGCAGAGCAAUUAGAUGAUGUUGAUUUUGGAUUAGAUUUUAUGCGAUCAAAAAAAACUAAUAACGAAGAAAUUCAAGAGGAUACUAAACAAAUUAUAAAACCUGAUUUUAGUAAACUUAGUAAAAGACAGAAACAAGCAUUAAUGCAAAAGGAAAAUCCUGAAUUUAUGGCCCUUGUGAACGACUUUAAAGAUCGUAUGGGAGAAGCAAAAGAUGUGUUAGCUCCAUUUCUGAAAUUAGUAAAUAGUGAUUUACUUCCUAGUUGUCCUGCUAUCUCUUUCAUAAAAACAAAAUACCACCUUUUAUUAAAUUAUUGCAUCAACAUUUCCUUCUAUUUAAUGCUGAAAGCUAAAAGAUCACCUAUAAAUUCACAUCCAGUUAUAAAACGUUUGGCUCAGUAUCGUCAGUUAUUAAAUCAGUUAGAAUCUGGGCAAGGAAAUUUGAUGCAUGAAGUUCAAGAUAUAUUAAAGGCACAGAAACAAGGCAAACCAUUAUAUAAUAUAUUUAACGGUACUAAAAUAAACAUUACUGAACAGAAAAUAAGUAAUUGUUUCAAAGAACAAUCAAUAAUUCCUAAAAAACCUACAAAAAAAAUUAUAAAUAUGAAUUCAUUUGAAUCUGAAUCAGAAUCUGAAUUUAUAACAAAGAAUCAAGAGCUUAUAAGUGAAGAGAAUUUGAAAAAUAAUGAAUAUGUGAUGGAAGAAGAAGAGAAAAAAGAUAUCGAAACGAUAAAUUCUGCAGCCGAAAAUGAAGGAAAAAGAGCAAUUACAUAUGAAAUAGCAAAAAAUAAAGGCUUGACACCACAUCGCAAGAAAGAACAACGUAAUCCCAGAGUGAAACAUAGAAACAAAUAUCGCAAAGCUAAAAUCCGUAGGAGAGGAGCUGUAAGGGAAGUAAGGAAAGAAGUUACUCGUUAUGCUGGCGAAAUAUCUGGUAUUAAAGCAAGCGUGAAGAAAAGUAUAAAAUUAAAAUAACUGAUCCAUGUCAUUAUUAAACUUUGGAUUAAAAAUUGUACAGUUUAUUUCUUACUAAAAUACAUAUAUUUUUUAUCAAAUAUAAGUAUUAUUAACACUGAAAAAGAAUAGAACAAAAAACAAUAUACUAAGAAAUAAUAAAAACAUAACGAACGUUUUAUUCUAGUUUCAUGUAUAUGUAAAUAUGAAAUGA